AUGUGACAAUAAGGCACCACCUUGGAAGCAGAGAGCAGCCCUCAUCAAGGCCAGUGCCUUUGUCUUAGACUUCCUUGCCUUUAGCACUGUGAGAAACAAAAUCCUGUUAUAUAUAAAUGACCCAGCCUGUGGUCCUUUACUAGAGUAGCAUAAAUGGAUCAAGACGGUCUCCAAUCUUAAUUAUGCCCUCAACAUGGGCAGUUCUCCCAUUGUCCACUGCACACUCGUUGCAAACUCUCACCAAUCUCUUGAAGCCUUUCAUCUGUGUCCCUCUCAUUCUUAGCAGUGAGCCUCAUCUCUGCAAAAAUCUCAGAAGCCACUAACUAUUCCCUUUUUCAAUUCCAGCCCUACCCUACUUUAAAUACAUCCACAUCUGUACCCACUCUUAACACCUUCCUGCAGCUCAGUGGAAAGGCAUUCUCUUUCAGACCAAGGCUAAUAUCUCUCUACGUGCCCUGAUGCCCAUUUAAUACUGCUACUUUUGAGUAGUAUUCUUUUAAACUAAUUAUCCUUUUAAACUAAUUUCUACCACAGUUUCUCUGUCUCUGUCUGUCUCUCUCGCUCUCUUUUCUGGCUCUCUCUUCUCAGCAUAAAAACAUUCUCGAGUCUUUUCUAUUUAUAAAAAUACAAAACCUCCCUGAACCCCAAACCCCUCUCCCCAACACAGCUGCUUGAAGUUCUCUCUUCUAUUCCAAGCUUAGCUAAUGGAAAAAAUAAUAACAAUCUGCUACAUUUCCUUUCAAGCCACAAAGCCAGUGUCCAAAACAAGACAAGGAGGAGACAAAAGGACACAGGCUUGUUUAUCAUUUUAUACUUAAUCAGGUCCCUUCAUGGCAUCACUACCCAAAACUCUCCCAGGACUUCUGCUAGCUACAGCUAGAAGACAGACUGCCAUGUCCUUGCCUCAAAGACUGUUUGCAGCAUUUUAAUGUAACCUUUCUUAUUAUAAUGCUGUUACUAGGGUCUGAGACUGGAGUAUAUGUAGUCAGACAGACUCGGGGUUCCCUCCAAUUACCUUCCAGCUGUGUUUCUGGCUCACCUCCGUGUUGGAAUCACAGGAAAGUAAGCAUGUGGAAGUGUCCUCUCCUCACGAGAUCUUGGUGUCAUCUGCACGUUCCAUUGAAAUCACUGGCUUCUUAUUUUUACUUAGCCACCUUUGAUCACCUUCCCUUUCAUUUUCAGAUGGAUUAUCCUCUGAAUUCCUCCUGUGCUUAAUAUUCUGAUAGCAUUCAGAAACCUAAAGAACUCUACCUUGAUGUUUUCUCUGAGCAGUUUAGGGAUAGAAAGGGACACAGUAGUACCUGCUGGAAGAACCACCCCACGGAGCGGGGAGACAAAAGUCACACACAACUCAACUGUCAAUCAAGUGUGAAAACAGCAUUGUUAAGACUAGUAUUUUUGCAAUUACAGCCUGAAUUCCAAUCCUUGCCCAAUUUUUUCAUCUAUAAAGAGGAAAGAGUGAUACCUUCUUAGGAAGAGUGCUGCAA